CGUUAAUAUUUGAUCUAUUAAUUUACACUGUUGAGCCACAAAGCCAAUAGUCCAACAAGGGGACGAAGUCAAGUCCCCCAACAUAACCAUCCUAAAGUUAAUUGAAUUAAGAAGUGGCUGAGACGUAUCAGCAACAUCCGCCGCUGGACCAAGGAAUCAAUACUGCUCCAGAAGGAAGUUGAAUACACAUAACUUGAGACGUGUCAGCAACACCCGCCGCUGGACCAAGGCAUCAAUACUGCUCCAGAGGGAAGUUGAACUAAUAUAACUUAUAUCAUAUAUUCUGCGUCGCUUCUAUUUCUUAGUCAGUCAUAUCAUAAUGGGUGGUGACGUAUAGUUCAUUUAUUAAACAAGAUGACGUGCAAGGAAGCUGAUGAGCUCAGAAAAAGUGAUGCAAAACGAAAUCGCAAACAUCAAAAAUGGCAUGAAUAAUCCAGCCAUUAUUUCUCACUUCACUACUCGUUUGGCUAUGGAAUCAUUUUUCAACAAACCAAUUACUCUCCCUGGGAAUACACUCACAGCGAAGAGAGAUUGUCGUCUUUGUCUACAAGGAGACGAAAAGCUUCGGCGAAAAACUUGUUUCUAUUGCAUUGUAUACAAGAAUCCAGUAUAUCACCAGCAAUAAAAAAUCGUUUAUACAUGUGCUUACCUUCCACCAAAUCUAUACAUAAAUAAAUACGAUUUCAUAUUUUACCACAAA